UGUCACAUAUUUCUUCUUUACAUGACGUUAACUGUUCAUAUUGUUCCAAUCAAAACAUGUAGAAACUUUGCAAGAAGAAUCAACAGAUUCCACAAAAUCAAAUUCCUCAUAACAGAGGUGCUAAGAGUUUGGUUAGAAGAAGAGCUGAAAUGAGGACAAACGGAAAAGAUGUUGAUCGAGGUAAAAUGUGGACUGAGACUCAUAAGACAAAAGAUGGAAGUUAUGUAACUGAGGCGGCUAGAGAGAUUGGGGCCUCAUAUGUAGAAAAUGGUGCUCAUUAGUCACCAAUUGGACCAACCAUCUGUUAGAAUAUUCAGAUGAACGUAAAAAUGGAGGACUAAGUAUAAACUAGAAAUCAUUUUUAGUAUAUUUUUUGGACAUUUUCUUUUAAUGACACUUGAAUUUGGUGUUUUGAUGAUGUAAUUUUGAAUUUUUAAAUAACACUUUAAAUUGGUAUUUU